CUCGCACUAUGCGUGUGAUGAUGUCAGAGGUGGAGAUGCCCUCUGUCCGCUGGGUGGGAGCGAACAUCCCUGCUCUUUUGAUGUGUGUGU